rfam:Candidatus Thrbacteria bacterium RIFCSPLOWO2_01_FTLL_53_9 rifcsplowo2_01_scaffold_149979, whole genome shotgun sequence.
GGGCAAGUGGCGGAACGGUAGACGCGCUACGUUCAGGGCGUAGUAUCCGCAAGGAUGUGAGGGUUCAAAUCCCUCCUUGCCCA